rnacentral:sRNA from 2 species
UUAUAGCCCUGAUGGGAACGGCAUCCUUGCUUGGCGGGGUUCGCCGAGCAAGAUAUAGUGUACAGCAGGAGGGAUU